UACGAAGGGGGCUAGCGUUGUUCGGAAUUACUGGGCGUAAAGCGCACGUAGGCGGAUAUUUAAGUCAGGGGUGAAAUCCCAGAGCUCAACUCUGGAACUGCCUUUGAUACUGGGUAUCUCGAGUAUGGAAGAGGUGAGUGGAAUUCCAGGUGUAGCGGUGAAAUGCGUAGAUAUCUGGAGGAACACCGGUGGCGAAGGCGGCAUCCUGGACCGACACUGACGCUGAGGUGCGAAAGCGUGGGGGAGCAAACAGG
rnacentral:rRNA from 1 species